CUAUACCGAAGGGUACGACAGACCAGAUGCAUAUGGUCCUCCACGUGGUGGCGGACGCUUCCCAGGUCCGGCAGACGCGAUGCCACCGAGGUACUAAAAGCGUACACUAAAGCGAAUACUAAGCGCAUGCGAAAGGCUCCCUUAAAAAAAAAAAUGCCUCUUUAGUGGUGGUCAUUCGCUUACGGAAUCGAAAACCUAGGAACUGCCCUGCGUCCGACAUACAGAGUCCAUACCAUUACAUACGAUACUAUGUAUAAUGAUAUAGAUAUGAUAUAACGAUAUAGAUACGAUCUAACGUUUAACACACUAACUUAAGGUACGGUAAGAAUAAGGAGCACAUCAAUCAGCAACAUAUGAAUGAAUUAAUGAAAUAAGCAACUACGAUUAUUUGAAGAUAAGAAAGAAGAAGAUUGAAUUCCUGACUGAAGUGAACUUUGUAAUGUGGAAUCAAGAAAUUUUAUAUAUCGUUCAUUUUUUCCAGCAGAUAGUGGAUAUAUAUUCUUUUUGUGCGAUUUGUGUUCGUAGUUUUUUUUCCUGAUAUUUCCAAUGUUUUUCUCUAUCUAUCUCUAUCUUUCUCUCUCUUUUUCUCUCUCUCUCAUAGUGGUAUAACCCAAUCCUAAAGGCACGGGUUGAAUUAUCUUUUAUCUAUCUUAAGUCACAUGGUUAUUACACAUUAGUAGGAUAGAUGAUUUCGUUAUAAGUUUGUAAUAUUUAGCAUCAGCAAAAUGGUGACUUAGGCUAUUAAA